GUCUCUCGGCGCAUCGUCUCCAGCAUCAUCUCCAGAUCUGGUGGGGCUAGCAGCCCCCACCCUUCACCUCUUCCCCAACCAGGUUCUUAUAUACAGAGAUUGGACGUCUUCAGAACAUUCACAAUAGCCAUAGAUGCAGUGGAUACGAACAAUUGCAAGUCGAUGAUUCUACAAGCUUGUUUUUUCUCUCAGGGACAGAUUUUCCUGGCCAAGGAAAAUGCAAAAUGAGACCGAGCUGGAAAUUGCAUCUAUAUAUCACACAGAUGCCAUGUGAGGAUGCAUCAAUGACUUCACCAUUGUCAUCAUUGAGUGAUGAGCCCCAACCAAAAGAGAAUUUGCUGUCUAUACUCAAAGCCCCAGGUUCUACGGGUGAGUGUCCAGAAGUGUCCUUAAAGAAUGUAGGCAAUUGGAGUUAGUUUUUAUACUAUCAUAGUGAAUUUCAUUAGUUAUAGGAAGCUCUUUUUUUAAUGCCUCUGUUUUUCUCUUUCACAUCCUAAAAGAAUUACUUUCUUGCUUCCUAUUUCUUGGGUUAGAUUAGAGGACUACUGGAAAGCCAGUCUCCUUUGCCUUGGAAGUACCUACUUUCAUGCCUCCUAUUUCUUGCAUUUGUUGCACACAGUCACAUAAAUGCUACCACAAAUAUUUAAAAAUGUCUUG